CGAAUUCUCAUCGAUCGGGAGCCGCUUACCACAGCUCCCUUUUUCUCGCGCGCAUCUUCAAGAUGCCCGCCAUCUUGGACACACUGUACACGCAAAUUGAAAUGCAUCUCUUGUCCAUUGAGUCGCGUUCUUUACGCGAUAGCGAGGGUUGUCGAUAAUAAUCGAUAUGUCGUCGGUAUUUCGCUAUCUUCACCAUGAGAUCUAUCACUCGAACGAAAAAUGAGAAAUUAUAAAUAAAUGAUACUGUAAGAAAAGUAGAUAAAUAUUCCCUUGUGUUUCGUUCAUAUUUAGUUUUACUGCAUCUGUUGUAUAAAAUUGUUACAUUAUGUACAAAGCGAAUGUUGCAAAUAUUAACGAAAAUAAAGUUAAAUGCAAAUAGAAA